GUCGCCCAUUUCGUUUACAACAACAAUCGUAGAUCCGGAACGCGUAAUAAAUUACGAUCAAAGACAACAACCUAAUACUGCGGUAGAGUCGAUCCAAUGGAUUGGCAAUGGUGUCGACAGUUCGUAAUGGUGCGUAUCGAUUGAUCCGGACGAUUUUCAAAACGAAUUAUAAUACGCUAUAAGCCAAGGAAAGCCGGACGCGUUUAAACAGCAAUUUUUCUACCGGAAAUCUUACUUCAAUC